rnacentral:lncRNA from 1 species
AAUGUAAGAAAUAUAAAUAAAUGAUUAAUUUACACGAUAAUAUUCAAGUCAAUGAAUAAUAUUUCUUCUAAAUAUGGCUUCUUUAGUUGUUACCCUACCUCUAUGAACUUAAAUAAAAUAACAAACCUUUGAGGGAGUAAAGAGAAUCCCACACUUUUGAAGAAUGUUGCCUACUUUUGUUUGGGCAGUAGCCAUGAUUCCAAAUAAACCCUAAAUCCCCUAUUUGGCUUUCCUCCCUCUCAAGCAAAUUCAUUCUCUAUUGAAUCUUCCAAUAUCAUUUAUCAUCAAUCCAAUCUUCAUAAUCAGCAACUAAAGCUUGUCUAUUCAAAGCAAGCAAAAAUAAUAUUGGAAAACAUCUUCUAAAUUUUAGCGACCACAACAAAUGUCAUGUCAAAAAAAAAGGUUUGAGUGUUAUCUCCAAUAAUUUUCCAAAGAUUUCUUUCGAACCCAACACCGACAAUCCCCCGAGAGCGAGACAAAUUUCCCCAAUCCUACCACGAGGUCGAGUUGUUGUUUGAACCAACUAUUUCUACCUCUAAACUAUACUUCGAAUUGAGUACUUUAACCCAAAAAGAAUUGGCUUCUUGAAUUCUUCUCCGCUUCCAUUUACAUAAAAGCAUUUCGUUGAAACAUAAUUUUUUUACUUUCAAACCUCCUUCACUUUUCGGUUUACACACAUCAGA